rnacentral:rRNA from 1 species
CAUAGCGACUAUCGUGGCAUAUCAAUAAGCGGAGGAAAAGAAACUAACAAGGAUUCCCUUAGUAACGGCGAGUGAAGCGGGAAGAGCUCAAAUUUGAAAUCUUCAAGGUUUUACCUUGACGAAUUGUAGUUUAAAGAAGUGUUUUCUGUUGAAGUUUUGGUAAAAGUUCUUUGGAAUAGGACAUCAUAGAGGGUGAGAAUCCCGUAUUUGACCAUUAUUUUCAGCUGUGUGAUACACUUUCAAAGAGUCGGAUUGUUUGGGAAUGCAGUCCAAAAUGGGUGGUAAAUUUCAUCUAAAGCUAAAUAUUGGCGAGAGACCGAUAGCGAACAAGUACCGUGAGGGAAAGAUGAAAAGAACUUUGAAAAGAGAGUUAAACAGUACGUGAAAUUGUCAAAAGGGAAGCGUUUGACACCAGUGUUGUUUUCUCGAAAAUCAAUUAAAAAAGGCCGGAUUUUGUGUUGUAUUGACCUUAAAAGCUUUCUUCACUCUUUUCUUGUCUUUUUUAAUGCACUUUUCGUUUAACAAGUCAACAUCAGUUUCUUUUGUUAGUAAAAGGGUCAUUGGAAGGUGGCUUUCUUUUCGGAGAAAGUGUUUAUAGCCUUUGAUCUCUGCAACCGGAGAGACUGAGGUCUGCAGCGUAGACUCUUCGGGGUUAGAUACAUUUGUGCUAAGCUAUAGCUUUUUAUAGACAACUUGUUGACUAUAUUUAGUCUUGUGGCUUACUCGCUUAUGCUAUUUUACCUACGCUUAGGAUGUUGAUAGUCACAGCGUGUAC